GCUAAUUUUAUAAUCUCUAAAAUUUUACUUUCAGCAAUAAAGUAUUUUACUUUAAAAAGCCCAAAUGAACAUAAAAGAAGCUAUCAUUUUCAAAUACUUUCUGCCAGUUCAGAAUACACAUUAGCACAUAAUAGCCAAGCUUUAUAUUGUAAAUAGCAGAGUGCAGUUAAAAAGAAAGAAAACAUUUUAGGCCUUGGGUUUCUGGUCAAGUUUCAAUAAUUAUUGCAUUGCAGUAAAGUGUUAAGAAAAUAUCUGAAAUUAAGGAAAGAGUGGACUCAAGGUAUCACAUUUAAAUUAUAAUGAAUAACCUUCACUUUUUCUAAUACACAGAUAAUUAACCAUGAUGUUGUGAAAAAAAUGAAAAGGACAAAUGUUAACUUUUAAAAAUUAUACCAGUCCUUUUUUUGUUUCAGGAAAUGAUUUGGAUUAACCCAGAGGCAAAGGCUAAAAUAAUAAUAAUAAUAUUUUGCUGCGCAAAAUGGAAGUCAUAAGGGAAAAAAAAAUCCUUUAUAAGGAUUCAUCCUUUAUAAGGCAUGAAUCACCUGUGCUCUUUCACUGAGCUUACAGAUUUCACGAGCUGAGGAAAGACUGACAUUGCUGGACAAACAGAAGGAAGACCACCUCUUUACGCUGCUUGGUUCCAGAGGACUCAAAGACAAGAUGAAGGCUCUGAUUUUGUUUGCAAUAAUUUUGAUCUUUACUGCUUGCUUCACGUCUGUUGAUGCCCUUAAGAAAAGAAAACACAAAUCUAACCAUAGUUCUGAAAAGAAUUUCAAACCAUUUAAACAAAGAAGGCCUGUAAAG
rnacentral:lncRNA from 1 species